UACGGAGGGUGCAAGCGUUGUCCGGAUUUAUUGGGUUUAAAGGGUGCGUAGGCGGCCCUGUAAGUCAGUGGUGAAAGCCUCCAGCUCAACUGGAGAACUGCCAUUGAUACUGCAGGGCUUGAGUACAGACGAGGUUGGCGGAAUUGAUUGUGUAGCGGUGAAAUGCAUAGAUACAAUCAAGAACUCCGAUUGCGUAGGCAGCUAACUAGGCUGUAACUGACGCUGAGGCACGAAAGCGUGGGGAGCAAACAGG
rnacentral:rRNA from 1 species